rnacentral:rRNA from 1 species
GACGAACGCUGGCGGCGUGCUUAACACAUGCAAGUCGAACGCUGAAGCACCAGCUUGCUGGUGUGGAUGAGUGGCGAACGGGUGAGUAAUACGUGAGUAACCUGCCCUUGACUCUGGGAUAAGCCCGGGAAACUGGGUCUAAUACUGGAUGCUACAUGUCACCGCAUGGUGGUGUGUGGAAAGGGUUUACUGGUCUUGGAUGGGCUCACGGCCUAUCAGCUUGUUGGUGAGGUAAUGGCUCACCAAGGCGACGACGGGUAGCCGGCCUGAGAGGGUGACCGGCCACACUGGGACUGAGACACGGCCCAGACUCCUACGGGAGGCAGCAGAGGGGAAUAUUGCACAAUGGGCGAAAGCCUGAUGCAGCGACGCCGCGUGAGGGAUGACGGCCUUCGGGUUGUAAACCUCUUUCAGCAGGGAAGAAGCCACAAGUGACGGUACCUGCAGAAGAAGCGCCGGCUAACUACGUG